CUCUUGAGACAGGUGNUGCAUGGCUGUCGUCAGCUCGUUGUUGUNAAAUGUUGGGUUAAGGUCCCGGCAACGAGCGCAACCCUUAUCCUUUGUUGCCAGCGGUUCGGCCGGGAACUCAAAGAGACUGCCAGUGAUAAACUGGAGGAAGGUGGGGAUGACGUCAAGUCAUCAUGGCCCUUACGAGUAGGGCUACACACGUGCUACAAUGGCAUAUACAAAGAGAAGCGACCUCGCGAGAGCAAGCGGACCUCAUAAAGUAUGUCGUAGUCCGGAUUGGAGUCUGCAACUCGACUCCAUGAAGUCGGAAUCGCUAGUAAUCGUGGAUCAGAAUGCCACGGUGAAUACGUUCCCGGGCCUUGU
rnacentral:rRNA from 1 species